AGUGAACGCUGGCGGUAGGCCUAACACAUGCAAGUCGAACGGCAGCACAGUAAGAGCUUGCUCUUACGGGUGGCGAGUGGCGGACGGGUGAGGAAUACAUCGGAAUCUACUUUUUCGUGGGGGAUAACGUAGGGAAACUUACGCUAAUACCGCAUACGACCUACGGGUGAAAGCAGUGGAUCUUCGGACCUUGCGCGAUUGAAUGAGCCGAUGUCGGAUUAGCUAGUUGGCGGGGUAAAGGCCCACCAAGGCGACGAUCCGUAGCUGGUCUGAGAGGAUGGUCAGCCACACUGGAGCUGAGACACGGUCCAGACUCCUACGGGAGGCAGCAGUGGGGAAUAUUGGACAAUGGGCGCAAGCCUGAUCCAGCCAUACCGCGUGGGUGAAGAAGGCCUUCGGGUUGUAAAGCCCUUUUGUUGGGAAAGAAAAGCAGCAGGUUAAUACCCAGCUGUUCCGACGGUACCCAAAGAAUAAGCACCGGCUAACUUCGUG
rnacentral:rRNA from 1 species